rnacentral:rRNA from 1 species
UACGUAGGGUGCGAGCGUUUAAUCGGAAUUACUGGGCGUAAAGCGUGCGCAGGCGGUUAUGUAAGACAGUUGUGAAAUCCCCGGGCUCAACCUGGGAAUUGCAUCUGUGACUGCAUAGCUAGAGUACGGUAGAGGGGGAUGGAAUUCCGCGUGUAGCAGUGAAAUGCGUAGAUAUGCGGAGGAACACCGAUGGCGAAGGCAAUCCCCUGGACCUGU